CAGGCUUGUCAAUGGUGUCAUUGUUUAAACCUGCUGAAGAAUAAACAUGCAGCUCCUUCAAGACCUGUGACAGCUGUGCAGGCACAGCAACCUGACUUGCAAAACAAACAGGCUACUCCAAUUGUGGGACAGGUGACAGGACAGGAAAAAUUCUCCUAGAACUGCUGAUGUGAAACGUAAGGACGGGUCUGAUUUGGAGCAUAAGCAACUUGUUUCUGUCAUCAGCCAUGAGCUACUGCACAGAAGGAGAGGAAAAGCCACCAAGACAGAAGUACAGAGAACCAUGCAGGAGAUAUCCGGCCACUUCCUGGGAAGCAGAGCUUCAGUACACAGAGCAGCUGCUCCAGAAGACGGAUGAUUUAAUAAGAAAUGCCCC